UGCAGUCGAGCGGACAGAAGGGAGCUUGCUCCCGGAUGUUAGCGGCGGACGGGUGAGUAACACGUGGGUAACCUGCCUGUAAGACUGGGAUAACUCCGGGAAACCGGAGCUAAUACCGGAUAGUUCCUUGAACCGCAUGGUUCAAGGAUGAAAGACGGUUUCGGCUGUCACUUACAGAUGGACCCGCGGCGCAUUAGCUAGUUGGUGGGGUAAUGGCUCACCAAGGCGACGAUGCGUAGCCGACCUGAGAGGGUGAUCGGCCACACUGGGACUGAGACACGGCCCAGACUCCUACGGGAGGCAGCAGUAGGGAAUCUUCCGCAAUGGACGAAAGUCUGACGGAGCAACGCCGCGUGAGUGAUGAAGGUUUUCGGAUCGUAAAGCUCUGUUGUUAGGGAAGAACAAGUGCGAGAGUAACUGCUCGCACCUUGACGGUACCUAACCAGAAAGCCACGGCUAACUACGUGCCAGCAGCCGCGGUAAUACGUAGGUGGCAAGCGUUGUCCGGAAUUAUUGGGCGUAAAGGGCUCGCAGGCGGUUUCUUAAGUCUGAUGUGAAAGCCCCCGGCUCAACCGGGGAGGGUCAUUGGAAACUGGGAAACUUGAGUGCAGAAGAGGAGAGUGGAAUUCCACGUGUAGCGGUGAAAUGCGUAGAGAUGUGGAGGAACACCAGUGGCGAAGGCGACUCUCUGGUCUGUAACUGACGCUGAGGAGCGAAAGCGUGGGGAGCGAACAGGAUUAGAUACCCUGGUAGUCCACGCCGUAAACGAUGAGUGCUAAGUGUUAGGGGGUUUCCGCCCCUUAGUGCUGCAGCUAACGCAUUAAGCACUCCGCCUGGGGAGUACGGUCGCAAGACUGAAACUCAAAGGAAUUGACGGGGGCCCGCACAAGCGGUGGAGCAUGUGGUUUAAUUCGAAGCAACGCGAAGAACCUUACCAGGUCUUGACAUCCUCUGACAACCCUAGAGAUAGGGCUUUCCCUUCGGGGACAGAAUGACAGGUGGUGCAUGGUUGUCGUCAGCUCGGGUCGGGAGAUGUUGGGUUAAGU
rnacentral:rRNA from 1 species